rnacentral:rRNA from 1 species
CCUACGGGGGGCUGCAGUGGGGAAUAUUGCACAAUGGGCGCAAGCCUGAUGCAGCCAUGCCGCGUGUGUGAAGAAGGCCUUCGGGUUGUAAAGCACUUUCAGCGGGGAGGAAGGCGGUGAGGUUAAUAACCUCAUCGAUUGACGUUACCCGCAGAAGAAGCACCGGCUAACGCCGUGCCAGCAGCCGCGGUAAUACGGAGGGUGCAAGCGUUAAUCGGAAUUACUGGGCGUAAAGCGCACGCAGGCGGUCUGUCAAGUCGGAUGUGAAAUCCCCGGGCUCAACCUGGGAACUGCAUUCGAAACUGGCAGGCUAGAGUCUUGUAGAGGGGGGUAGAAUUCCAGGUGUAGCGGUGAAAUGCGUAGAGAUCUGGAGGAAUACCGGUGGCGAAGGCGGCCCCCUGGACAAAGACUGACGCUCAGGUGCGAAAGCGUGGGGAGCAAACAGGAUUAGAUACCCGUGUAGUC